UACGAAGGGGGCUAGCGUUGCUCGGAAUCACUGGGCGUAAAGCGCACGUAGGCGGCUUCUAAGUCAGGGGUGAAAUCCUGGAGCUCAACUCCAGAACUGCCUUUGAUACUGGAGAGCUCGAGUCCGGAAGAGGUGAGUGGAACUCCGAGUGUAGAGGUGAAAUUCGUAGAUAUUCGGAAGAACACCAGUGGCGAAGGCGGCUCACUGGUCCGGUACUGACGCUGAUGUGCGAAAGCGUGGGGAGCAAACAGG
rnacentral:rRNA from 1 species